CGGGUGAGUUUUAUUCUUAUUAUUAUUUUUUUUUUUUUGGCUUCAACUCUCUUGUACUUAAAGACAGAAGCUUUGAUUGGUUUGGAGCUCACAAAUAAAAGAAGAACAUAUAUCUCCGUUACAAAAAUGCUGCAAUUGUUUCCUUUGUAAUUAUGCUAUUUAUGCAUGUCAAUAAUAUGAUUUUUGAAGAAAAAAAUCAAUAAGUAAUAUCAUGCCAACAACAUUGCAUUACAAAAAAAA
rnacentral:lncRNA from 1 species